AUGGAAACCUCGGGGUGCCGGACUGUCACGCGCGGCCGGCUGAGAUGCCAUAGGGCGAACCCGUUGAACCUGAACCGGUUGACACCGGCGGAGGGAAGGGCGCGCAAGACCGG
rnacentral:ncRNA from 2 species